AUUGAACGCUGGCGGCAGGCUUAACACAUGCAAGUCGAGCGGAGUGAUGGUGCUUGCACUAUCACUUAGCGGCGGACGGGUGAGUAAUGCUUAGGAAUCUGCCAUUUAGUGGGGGACAACAUUCCGAAAGGAAUGCUAAUACCGCAUACGUCCUACGGGAGAAAGCAGGGGAUCUUCGGACCUUGCGCUAAAUGAUGAGCCUAAGUCGGAUUAGCUAGUUGGUGGGGUAAAGGCCUACCAAGGCGACGAUCUGUAGCGGGUCUGAGAGGAGGAUCCGCCACACUGGGACUGUGACACGGCACAGACUCCUACGGGAGGCAGCAGUGGGGAAUAUUGGACAAUGGGCGGAAGCCUGAUCCAGCCAUGCCGCGUGUGUGAAGAAGGCCUUUUGGUUGUAAAGCACUUUAAGCGAGGAGGAGGCUCUCCUAGUUAAUACCUAGGAAGAGUGGACGUUACUCGCAGAAUAAGCACCGGCUAACUCUGUGCCAGCCGCCGCGGUAAAAC
rnacentral:rRNA from 1 species